rnacentral:rRNA from 1 species
GAUGAACGCUGGCGGCGUGCCUAGUACAUGCAAGUCGAGCGAACGGACGAGAAGCUUGCUUCUCUGAUGUUAGCGGCGGACGGGUGAGUAACACGUGGAUAACCUACCUAUAAGACUGGGAUAACUUCGGGAAACCGGAGCUAAUACCGGAUAAUAUUUUGAACCGCAUGGUUCAAAAGUGAAAGACGGUCUUGCUGUCACUUAUAGAUGGAUCCGCGCUGCAUUAGCUAGUUGGUAAGGUAACGGCUUACCAAGGCAACGAUGCAUAGCCGACCUGAGAGGGUGAUCGGCCACACUGGAACUGAGACACGGUCCAGACUCCUACGGGAGGCAGCAGUAGGGAAUCUUCCGCAAUGGGCGAAAGCCUGACGGAGCAACGCCGCGUGAGUGAUGAAGGUCUUCGGAUCGUAAAACUCUGUUAUUAGGGAAGAACAGAUGUGUAAGUAACUGUGCACAUCUUGACGGUACCUAAUCAGAAAGCCACGGCUAACUACGUG